AUUGAACGCUGGCGGCAUGCCUUACACAUGCAAGUCGAACGGUAACAGGUCUUCGGAUGCUGACGAGUGGCGAACGGGUGAGUAAUACAUCGGAACGUGCCUAGUAGUGGGGGAUAACUACUCGAAAGAGUGGCUAAUACCGCAUGAGAUCUACGGAUGAAAGCAGGGGAUCGCAAGACCUUGUGCUACUAGAGCGGCCGAUGGCAGAUUAGGUAGGUGGUGGGAUAAAAGUUUAACAAGCCGACGAUCUGUAGCUGGUCUGAGAGGACGAUCAGCCACACUGGGACUGAGACACGGCCCAGACUCCUACGGGAGGCAGCAGUGGGGAAUUUUGGACAAUGGGCGCAAGCCUGAUCCAGCAAUGCCGCGUGCAGGAUGAAGGCCUUCGGGUUGUAAACUACUUUUGUACGGAACGAAAAGCCCCGGGUUAAUACCCUGGGGUCAUGACGGUACCGUAAGAAUAAGCACCGGCUAACUACGUGCCAGCCGCCGCCGUAA
rnacentral:rRNA from 1 species